rnacentral:rRNA from 1 species
CCUACGGGGGGCAGCAGUGGGGGAUAUUGCACAAUGGGGGGAACCCUGAUGCAGCGACGCCGCGUGGGUGAAGAAGCCCCUCGGGGUGUAAAGCCCUGUCAGCAGGGAAGAAAAUGACGGUACCUGAAGAAGAAGCCCCGGCCAACUCCGUUCCAACAGCCGCGGUAAUACGGAGGGGGCAAGGGUUAUCCGGAUUUACUGGGUGUAAAGGGGGCGCAGACGGCGGUGCAAGUCAGUAGUGAAAGGCCGGGGCUCAACCCCGGGACUGCAGUUGGAACUGCCAGGCUGGAGUGCAGGAGGGGCAGGCGGAAUUCCUGGUGUAGCGGUGAAAUGCGUAGAUAUCAGGAGGAACACCGGUGGCGAAGGCGGCCUGCUGGACUGCAACUGACGUUGAGGCGCGAAAGCGUGGGGAGCAAACAGGAUUAGAUACCCUGGUAGUC